rnacentral:rRNA from 1 species
CUAUACAUGACUCUGCGCAUAUCAAUAAGCGGAGGAAAAGAAACUAACAAGGAUUCCCUUAGUAACGGCGAGUGAAGCGGGAAGAGCUCAAAUUUGAAAUCUUCAAGGUUUACCUUGACGAAUUGUAGUUUAUAGAAGUGUUUUCUGUAGUGGAGUUUGGUAAAAGUUCUUUGGAAUAGGACAUCAUAGAGGGUGAGAAUCCCGUAUUUGGAUCCAUUACUUUCCUAGCUUUGUGAUACACUUUCAAAGAGUCGGAUUGUUUGGGAAUGCAGUCCAAAAUGGGUGGUAAAUUUCAUCUAAAGCUAAAUAUUGGCGAGAGACCGAUAGCGAACAAGUACCGUGAGGGAAAGAUGAAAAGAACUUUGAAAAGAGAGUUAAACAGUACGUGAAAUUGUCAAAAGGGAAGCGUUUGACACCAGUGUUGUUUUUCCGAAAAUCAAUUACGAAUGUUUUAUUUUUGAGAAGUUAUGACUUCAUCGGCUUGCUUCUCUCUUUACGAAACUUUCUUAAUGCACUUUUCGGUUAACAAGUCAACAUCAAUUUCUUUUGUUGUAAAAGGGUAUGAGGAAGGUGGCUUUCUUUUCGGAGAAAGUGUUUAUAGCCUUGUACCUCUGCAAUCGGAGAGGAUUGAGGUCUGCAGCGUAGAUCCUUCGGGGUUAGAUACAUUUGUGCUAAGUUAUAGCUUUUCAUAGACAACUUGUUGACUAUGUUAGUCUUGUAGCUUACUCGCUGAUGCUAUUUUACCUACGCUUAGGAUGUUGACGAGACUGUCGAUCUC